rnacentral:rRNA from 1 species
GACGAACGCUGGCGGCGUGCUUAACACAUGCAAGUCGAACGAUGAAGCCCAGCUUGCUGGGUGGAUUAGUGGCGAACGGGUGAGUAACACGUGAGUAGCCUGCCCUGGACUCUGGGAUAACCCCGAGAAAUCGGAACUAAUACCGGAUAGGACCUUUCCUCGCAUGAGGUUUGGUGGAAAGUUUUUCGGUUUGGGAUGGACUCGCGGCCUAUCAGCUUGUUGGUGAGGUAAUGGCUCACCAAGGCGUCGACGGGUAGCCGGCCUGAGAGGGUGACCGGCCACACUGGGACUGAGACACGGCCCAGACUCCUACGGGAGGCAGCAGUGGGGAAUAUUGCACAAUGGGCGCAAGCCUGAUGCAGCAACGCCGCGUGCGGGAUGACGGCCUUCGGGUUGUAAACCGCUUUUAGUAGGGAAGAAGCCUUCGGGUGACGGUACCUGCGGAAAAAGGACCGGCUAACUACGUGCCAGCCGCCGCCGUAAGAC